rfam:Gossypium arboreum cultivar AKA8401 contig_23201_1, whole genome shotgun sequence.
AACCCAUGAUCAGGGCACCGUCUCAAUAAAUCUUUAAAUCUCUCUCAUGCAUCAUAUAAUGUCUUCAAAUCAAUUUUAGCAAAAGAAGAGAUGUCAUUCCUCAACUU